UGAAGGAGAGACUCCAUUUUACAUGAAGCAAGAUGACAGUGUUUUUGAAUCCACGGUGAACGCUGCCACGUUGAAUAGAGUGUCGGAGUGCUUCUUCUCUGAUUGAAAGAGAGAAAAGCUGCAGGAGAAGAGACAGCCUAGCAACUGCCUGCCAUUCCAAACAACUUUUGAAAGGUACCUAACAAAGGCAAAAACAGGGAAGCUUCUCAGCACUGGGAUCAAAUGUAGAGCUUUGGUGCCACGAGUCAAAAGCCUGUGAAUUCCUGCAGCCUCUACAGCUGUCAAGAUUCAGCCUUUCUAAUGCAGAUUUUGGUUUCAAGACUUAAUAAGCACAUCGCCUAAAAAUAAAUAAAUAAAGGCCUGCUGCUUCACCACAUUUGGGGGGGGCAGAGAGAGAGAUGCUCACUAUA